UCUGGUUGAUCCUGCCAGUAGUGAUAUGCUUGUUUCAAAGAUUAAGCCAUGCAUGUCUAAGCAUAAGCGAACUUAUACAUUGAAACUGCGGAUGGCUCAUUAAAACAGUUUGAAUUUAUUUGAUGAAUGUAUGAGAAUACUACUUGGAUAACCGUAGUAAUUCUAGAGCUAAUACAUGCAACGACGCCCGACCGUUUCACUACGGAAGGGCUGUAUUUAUUGGAUACCAAAACCAUCCUUCCCUCGGGAAGUUUUGUUUGAUGAUUCACAAUAACUGAUCGGAUCGCCACUGUGGUGGCGACAGGUCAUUCAACAUUCUGCCCUAUCAGCUUUCGAUGGUUGUGUAGUGGACAACCAUGGCCAUAACGGGUAACGGAGAAUCAGGGUUCGAUUCCGGAGAAGGAGCUUGAGAAUUGGCUACUACAUCUAAGGAGGGCAGCAGGCGCGCAAAUUACCCAAUCCCGAUUCGGGGAGGUAGUGACGAAAAAUAACAAUACCGGGCCUUUUUGGGCUUGGUAAUUGGAAUGAGGGAGAGUUAAACGGACCAUCGAGUAUCCAUUGGAGGGCAAGUCUGGUGCCAGCAGCUGCGGUAAUACCAGCUCCAAUAGCGUAUAUUAAAGUUGUUGCAGUUAAAAAGCUCGUAGUUGGACUUGUGUGCGCUGUCCGCGGGUGGCCUGCGCCCAAAAGGGCGUUUCGGUUCGGCCCCGGUGGCGCCUUGAAAUCUGCAGCUGGGGGGACGUUGGCCUUAACUGGUCGGCGACCGCACGCCGGCUGCUCGGUUACUGUGAGAAAAUUAGAGUGUUCAAGGCAGGCAUUGGGUGCAAUUGAAUACAUUAGCAUGGAAUAAUAAAAUAUGGCUCCUGCCGUAUUUUGUUGGUCUUGACUGGUGGGAGUAAUGAUUGAUAGGGACGGUUGGGGGUGCUAGUAUUGAGCGGCCAGAGGUGAAAUUCAUGGAUUCGCUCAAGACUAACUUAUGCGAAAGCAUUCACCAAGGACGUCCUCUUUAAUCAAGAACGAAAGUUGGGGGAUCGAAGACGAUCAGAUACCGUCGUAGUCUCAACCAUAAACUAUGUCGACUUGGGAUCGGCGGUAGUUUUUUCAUUAAGACACUGUCGGGACCACGGGAGAAAUCAAAGUGUCUGGACUCUGGGGGAAGUAUGGUCGCAAGGCUGAAACUUGAAGGAAUUGACGGAAGGGCACCACCAGGAGUGGAGCCUGCGGCUUAAUUUGACUCAACACGGGGAAACUUACCAGGUCCAGAGAUGUAGAGGAUUGACAGAUUGAAGCUCUUUCUUGAUCA
rnacentral:rRNA from 1 species